rnacentral:lncRNA from 1 species
GGGUUAGCUGACAACGUCACAAAAACAAUGCAUACGCCUCAAUGGGGCAGAAGUCUGUGUGUUGUUAUGAUUCUAGAUGGCCAGACUGCUAGUAGCAAUGACAAAAAACUGCCAUGUGGGGAAUUGUUGCUCUGGAAGGGCCUAGUGUGUCCGUCUGUCCGUCCGUCCAUCUGUCUGACCGCGUGUGUGUCUGUGGGAGGUAUGCUGUGCUGUAGCCAGGGCCAACUGCAGCAGGCAUGGUAGGCAUUCCUCCCUGAUGGUCUCCCUCUCCUCCCCUGACGAUCCUUCCACACCUUGCUCCUCAGUGAGACCGGAACCUUCCACUGCCGGCUCACGGGGUGGGCUCCGCUUGACUCAUGGUGUUAUAAGAGGGGUCGUGACCUGGUCGUAUGACUGCUUCCUGUUGUAGUUGAAGAGGUCUUCCGAGACCUGGGGUGAUCACAGGAGAUACUACAUCCGGUGGUUGAGGGCCUGUCACUGUAAAAGACAUACAUCAGUUGAACAGUAGCUGUUCUGGGAUGAAGGGAGAGAGGGAAACAGAGAAAGUGGUGUUAUUUAUUGCUAUGAGGGCCAGAGGGAGAUGGUGAAAGAGAUGAGUUCACUUCAUAUAGAAAAGACUGAAUAUAUUUUUUAAAACACUUUCAUGAACUAACACUCACACUUGACUCCCCAACCCUUUACUAGCUCUGACUUUGCUGAUAGUGCAUUCAUCUUAAGAUAGCUAGCUAACUGUAAGUCCCUCAGGAUACGAGCGUCUGCUAAAUGACUAACAUGUAAAUAUAAGAGCAGAGAACUGGUGGUCAUUUGGGUGUUCUGGAUGAAUGCCAGGAGGACUCUGAUGCUUUUAAAGUUCUGAUACUGCUGUUCUCACA